ensembl:lncRNA
AUUACCACAAACUUCAUACUUUAACACAAUUUUACUUCAAUAGCAAGAGGGUGGAAGCAACCCAAGUGUCUAUUGGUAGAUGGAUAGAUGCAUAAAAUUCAGCAUAACCAUACAAUAAAAUAAAAUUCAUUCUAAAAAGGAAGGAUAUUUGGCCACGUGCUACAACAUGAGUGAACAUUAUGCUGUGUGAAAUAAACCACUCACAAGAAGGACUUUAGGUGAUGGAAGAGGCAUGACCAGCAGCAGACAAGCUAGAGAAGGCAGCAAAGUUUGACAAGAUACAAAAAAACCACAACAAAACAGGCAGCUGAUGUAGGUGCUGUCUCUGCCCCACAAAAGCUGUGCUAUCUGGAACACAGAACACCGGAUGCAAUGCUCCCAACAGAGAGACAACAACUACAAAGGACAACAACUACAAAGGUCAAUGAUAAGUCACCUGAAAAUAUCCACACACCUGCCUUGAUCGCUGCAUGGACCCCAACCACAAAUAUUUGUUCUGACCCCUACACGUGAUAGACAUGCCAGACCUCUUCCACUGCCCUGUAAAGCUUUCUGCCUUUUCUUUGUUCGGGGCUGGCUGUCUCUUGCCUGCCGUCAGUCCACCUCUGCCAAGUGAAUAAAGUCUGUACCUCUUUGCUUGUAUUAGCCUGCUUGGGUGGUCUCAUCCCUCCACGCCAUUUGUUACAAUUCCCAAUUCCUAUAAGAAUGGCCCAUCUAGGUUCUUCUUUGGGGAAGGGGAUGGGGCAGAUAAUUCUAUUUCUGUGCACCAGACUAUCUUAGGUAUUUCAUAUCAGUGCAAUCAUGCAAUAUUUGAUUGGCUUACUUCCCUGGGCUUAAUGUCCUCAAAGUUCAUCCAUGUUGUUGCAUAUGAAAGGAUUUCCUUUUUUAAGGCUGCAAAUAUUUUAUUGUGUCUAUAUACUACAUUUUUAUGCAUGC